UACGUAGGGCGCGAGCGUUGUCCGGAAUUAUUGGGCGUAAAGAGCGCGUAGGCGGCCGGUUGCGUCUGCUGUGAAAUCCCGGGGCUUAACCCCGGGCGUGCAGUGGAUACGGGCCGGCUGGAGGCAGGCAGGGGAGAAUGGAAUUCCCGGUGUAGCGGUGAAAUGCGCAGAUAUCGGGAGGAACACCAAUAGCGAAGGCAGCUCGCUGGGACGUUACUGACACUGAGGCGCGAAAGCGUGGGGAGCGAACAGG
rnacentral:rRNA from 1 species